CUCUGGGUGGGCAGGAGCCUACGACAAGAUGCGCUUUACUUCUGCGUCUCACUGCCUCUGGUAGCUCAGUUAAAAAAACUGUAGAGAAAGAUUCGCCUGUCUGCCAGCUCUCCACACCGAUUUUCCUCUAACACCUUCACCACCGGACCCAAACCCCUGACUUCAGCCAGCUUCCAGAUCACCCUUCUUCGCACCAAAAGAAUAAAGACUUUGUGUUCACUA